CAUGUACGCUGGCGGCAGGUUUACCACAUGCAGUCGAGCGGGCAAGGUUGCCUUGCUACCUGACCUAGCGGCGGACGGGUGAGUAAUGCUUAGGAAUCUGCCUAUUAGUGGGGGACAACAUUCCGAAAGGAAUGCUAAUACCGCAUACGCCCUACGGGGGAAAGCAGGGGAUCUUCGGACCUUGCGCUAAUAGAUGAGCCUAAGUCAGAUUAGCUAGUUGGUGGGGUAAAGGCCUACCAAGGCGACGAUCUGUAGCGGGUCUGAGAGGAUGAUCCGCCACACUGGGACUGAGACACGGCCCAGACUCCUACGGGAGGCAGCAGUGGGGAAUAUUGGACAAUGGGCGCAAGCCUGAUCCAGCCAUGCCGCGUGUGUGAAGAAGGCCUUUUGGUUGUAAAGCACUUUAAGCGAGGAGGAGGCUACUGAGAUUAAUACUCUAGGAUAGUGGACGUUACUCGCAGAAUAAGCACCGGCUAACUCUGUGCCAGCAGCCGCGGUAAUACAGAGGGUGCGAGCGUUAAUCGGAUUUACUGGGCGUAAAGCGUGCGUGGGCGGCUUCUUAAGUCGGAUGUGAAAUCCCUGAGCUUAACUUAGGAAUUG
rnacentral:rRNA from 1 species